GAGUCUAACGUUGGCCAACAAACUGGGACUCGGAGAGAAAGGGCUCUUCAAUUGAAGGACGGCAGUGGUGGUGGCAGAAGUGGCCAACUGGUGAGUGGUGAAAACAGUGGUAGCGGCGGCUAGGGUUUGCUUUUGAUUUGGGGAAAGAGGAAUGCCGAGUUGCCGACAGCGGAACAGCCGAGUGGGAAGAAGAAAGAGGCGUGUUUGUGUUAGGGGUGUCCGCUGUCUUGGACUCUUGGUCCUUAGUCCUCGGAGAAAUUGUAUCUAGUUUCUAGUUUAGUAAUUAGUUAAAUAAGUAGGGGUAUUUAUGUAAUUUUACACGGCUCGCGAGGCUCGAACUCGACUCGUAUUAUAAACAAACUAGUUCGAACUCGAUAUUGACUAAGCUCGAGUCGAGCGUUG
rnacentral:lncRNA from 1 species